GGGAAAGCAAAUUCCAUUAUUGCAGACAAUUUCGGGGAACCUGCUGUCAGUGCUGUGACUUUUGCAUUUGUGCCCCCUUCUGGUCCCCGUGAACGAGCUUCCACACACCCGGGACUGCAAUUUUACAGCGCUUCCUCUCCUGACCGGGCGCAACAGCGCAGAAAUUUACAUUAUUUUGAACUCGGCAUCCCUCUUUUCCCAGCCCUGCACUCAAAAAGGAGGUGAGAAGGACCCAGGCACAUCAGUGACUUUCCGCAUAAAGGAGGAGCAGAACUGGGACCCCUCCGUGAGGGAAGGUGGGACUCUGACGGAGGGAGGAGAGUACCACUCUCAGGUAUUUAAAAGCCAAUCUAGACCAGAGACGAUGAGUUGGCAUAAAGGUCAUUGAUUUUGAGAAAAUAAAAGCCGGCGGCGACCUCGCAGGCAGGACACCUACGCGUGACGUGGUGGGGGGAAGACCCCCCGCAGGUCAGCAGGCAGGUAAGCGCACUCCUUCACCUCCUCCUCCCCUGGACCCGAUUCUGCGGGUACCGCCCGGGCGGUCGGCGCCCCUUUAGCGGUUGCUGUCCCUGUUGGCAGGGCCGCCCCCCCCCUCCC
rnacentral:lncRNA from 1 species